UGGCAAUGAGGAUAAUUUGCAUUAAAAUGAUUACGUAUGAAUUAAAUUAUACGCUAUUCUGAGCUGCUG